rnacentral:piRNA from 1 species
UAGUCGUAUUUCUCUUCUGAC